AUCUCAGCAAAUUAAGGAGAACAAUCCUCGUUGUGGAAUAGAUUGCAAUGAUAUUGGCACAAAUGACAUGAGUGAACAAAACGUUUUCGAGACACUGAUAGGGAAGCAACAGCAGAUCUUGCUGGCAACACAAGUUGUCAAAAUGAUAUUAAAAAUUGAUGAUGUCAUCUCACCUUCUGAUUAUUGAGUUGUGGUCUUUGUUCUAUUUCACUGACCAACAAUGAAACUCAUAAUACAUUGUUGGCUUGAUUCGGCAUGAUGAGUCUCUUGGAGAUGUUCAUUUUAUGGGAUCUCGUUUUAGCUUAUAAAUUUUGGAUUGGCGUCCAUUGGACAUCUGGCAUGAAAAUUCUUGUUCACUGUUUACUGAUUUGAUGUUUUGAAAAAACAGCUGCAUUCCAUAAAUGCGUGAUCACAAGAC
rnacentral:misc_RNA from 1 species